AACAGGAUAUCGCCCAAGAAAUCUCAGAAGCAUUUUCUCAACGGGUUGGCUUUGGUGAUGACUUUGAUGAGGAUGAGUUGAUGGCAGAACUUGAAGAAUUGGAACAGGAGGAAUUAAAUAAGAAGAUGACAAAUAUCCGCCUUCCAAAUGUGCCUUCCUCUUCUCUCCCAGCACAGCCAAAUAGAAAACCAGGCAUGUCGUCCACUGCACGUCGAUCCCGAGCAGCAUCUUCCCAGAGGGCAGAAGAAGAGGAUGAUGAUAUCAAACAAUUGGCAGCUUGGGCUACCUAAACUAAAACACAUUUUUGAUACCUAAAUUAAUGAGCUAUAGAUAAAAUAUAAAAAAUGUUUUUACCAAGUUCAGAAGUUAACAAAGACUCUGCUUUAUAAUUAUAUUGAAUGAAUAAUUGUGUUUUAAGCCUCCUAAGUAAAAGUAAAAAAGGAGUCAUGUGCAUACAUAGAAUCAGUGAUGGAGGCCAGGCACGGUAUCUCAUGCCUAUAAUCCCAGCACUUUGGGAGGCUGAGGCAGUUGAGACCAGGAGUUCGAGUCCAGCCUGACCAACAUGAAGAAACCCUGUCUGUACUAAAAAUACAAAAAUUAGCCGGACAUGGUGGCAGGCACCUGUAAUCCCAGCUACUUGGGAGGCUGAGUCAGGAGAAUCGCUUGAGCCCAGGAGAUGGAGGUUGCAGUGAGCCAAGAUCAUGCCACUGCACUCCAGACUGGGCAACAGAGGGAGACUCCGUCUCAAAAACUAAAAAAAAAAAAUACAUUUAGUAUAGCGGGGGGUGGGGGGGAGAAAUAAUGUUAUUUCCUAUGCGAAUGACGUGUAUCCCUGUACCCAUGGUAAAUGUAAAUAUACUGUGUCUCUUUUGGGAGAGCCUUUUAGUAGAGGAGUCUUAUAUGAGUCUCUACAUAAGUAGUUUCACUUGAGUUUUGCAGUUUGAAAUCUUAAAGGAGCUUUAAUUGACAUUUAUUAUACCAAUUAAGCUUGGAAUGGGGCAAUGGAUGCAUUUCCCAAAACGUGUGAAAGCACUAACAGCUUAUAUUGCUGAAUGAGAAUCUCCUGGGUGUAAUUUAGCCACUUAGGGAACUGCGUGAACACUCCCAGGCCAUUAUGAUGCUGUUACAGCUUCAGUGUAUAAAUGCAUGAGUAUUCUUUCUGUUCUGUUUUGUGCUCUCUUGUACAUUUAUUUACCCUUUACAGAAUAUUUCUUGUAAAUACAUAAAAAUAUUGGCAAUUAAAAGUACAUCUUGAAU
rnacentral:lncRNA from 1 species